rnacentral:rRNA from 1 species
AUUGAACGCUGGCGGCAUGCCUUACACAUGCAAGUCGAACGGUAACGGGCCUUCGGGUGCCGACGAGUGGCGAACGGGUGAGUAAUACAUCGGAACGUGCACGAUCGUGGGGGAUAACGAGGCGAAAGCUUUGCUAAUACCGCAUACGAUCUACGGAUGAAAGCAGGGGACCGCAAGGCCUUGCGCGGACGGAGCGGCCGAUGGCAGAUUAGGUAGUUGGUGGGAUAAAAGCUUACCAAGCCGACGAUCUGUAGCUGGUCUGAGAGGAUGAUCAGCCACACUGGGACUGAGACACGGCCCAGACUCCUACGGGAGGCAGCAGUGGGGAAUUUUGGACAAUGGGCGCAAGCCUGAUCCAGCCAUGCCGCGUGCAGGAUGAAGGCCUUCGGGUUGUAAACCGCUUUUGUACGGAACGAAGGGCCUUCUUUUAAUACAGGAGGGUCAUGACGGUACCGUAAGAAUAAGCACCGGCUAACUACGUG